AUGGAAAGAACUUUGAAAAGAGAGUGAAAAGCACUUGAAACCGUCACGGGGGAAGCGGAUUGCGUGAGUGAUGGUGUCGCUUGUUCAGCGCUUUAUUGCGUGCAUUCUGGCGGCGCCGUGCCGGCGUGGCUGGCUGGACUGUGAUUUUGACAGUCUCGGCUGGUGAGGGCUCCCUCGUAUGAGGUGAGGACGCGGGCAAAAUGACGCAAUACGACCCGUCUUGAAACACGGACCAAGGAGUCUAGCACGGCUGCGAGUCGAAGAGUGAUUAAACUCAAGGGCGAAGUGAAAGCGAAAUUAUAAGCAAAUUGGGGAGGCGUUGCGUUUUUAACAAAAUGUCCUACCUCGAGCAUUUGUGCUGGGACCCGAAAGAUGGUGAACUAUGCCGGAGUAGGGCAAAGCCAGAGGAAACUCUGGUGGAGGCUCGUAGCGAUGCUGACGUGCAAAUCGCUCGUCGAACUUGGGUAUAGGGGCGAAAGACUAAUCGAACCAUCUAGUAGCUGGUUCCCUCCGAAGUUUCUCUCAGGAUAGCGGGCCGACACGCGUUUGUUGUUUUGUGC
rnacentral:rRNA from 1 species